GUGCCGCGGCUGCCGGAUGCGGCCCGCGUCACCGCCGGGGCCCGGGUGCCGGACGCCGGUACCGGUACGGGUUCCGCCGCCCGCGCGGCACG
rnacentral:tRNA from 1 species